ensembl:lncRNA
CUCUGUAAAGCCUCGAGCGCCGGGUGACCAUGUCGGGGAAAAUAGAGAGCAAACACGGUGAGUAAAGCCUAAAAACACACGAAACACACACACGCGCGCGAAAAUACACACAUUUUAGACCAAAAGAAGAGCUAAAAUAUAUAUUCAUAUAUAUGUAUAUAUGAAGAAAUUCGUAAUAGACCUAACCGUUAGCCUGCGUUAGCGCCCGUUAGCUUUACAGCUAAAGCCCCGUUUUUUUUUUGAUUGGACCCCCUUUUCACACGUUUAAACGGAGCUUUUUUCCCUGGAGAAACACGUCGGUAAUAAUAUGUAUAAAUAGUUUUAUUUGUUUUUGUCGUAAUUCGUGUGAAUUUUGUGGAGAAAUGUGUGUGUAAAUGGAGUGUUAGGAGCGAUAACCGCAGUGACCGCUGCUGUUGUCAAUCUCAGUCUAGACUGUUUAAAGCUUCAGCUCGAGACUCACGUGUAACGGUGUUCUGAGGUAUUUAUAGCAGUUUACUACAAUAAGGUCAUAUUUAGAGUUUUUUUUUUUUUUUUUUUUUUUUGGUAAUAUACAUUUGAUUUGAAAUGUAAGGAAAAGUCUGUGUAUGAUUGCAUAUAUGCAGCAGGGAUUAUGAGUGUGAAUUCAGCACUGUUUACAGGUUAUAUGGUAUAUUAUAGGUUUGGACAGGUCAGGAUAUUAAUCCCAGAGUAUUGUGUAAUAAAUACUGAAUAUUAAUCCCAGAGUAUUGUGUAAUAAAUACUGGAAUAUUAAUCCCAGUUCAUGUGUAAUAAAUACAGGAAUAUUAAUCCCAGAUAUUGUGUAAUAAAUACUGGAAUAUUAAUCCCAGUUCAUGUGUAAUAAAUACUGGAAUAUAAUCCCAGAUUCAUGUGUAAUAAAUACUGGAAUAUUAGUCCCAGAU